rnacentral:sRNA from 1 species
CAGCUACGCCCGGGAUGACACCCAUUACCUGCUAUAUAUCUAUGACAAAAUGAGGCUGGAGAUGUGGGAGCGCGGCAACGGGCAGCCCGUGCAGCUGCAGGUGGUGUGGCAACGGAGCAGGGACAUCUGCCUCAAGAAAUUCAUCAAACCUAUCUUCACGGAUGAGUCCUACCUUGAACUCUAUAGGAAGCAGAAGAAGCACCUUAACACACAGCAGUUGACAGCCUUUCAGCUGCUGUUUGCCUGGAGGGAUAAAACAGCUCGCAGGGAAGAUGAAAGUUACGGCUGAAGAACUGCCUAAGGAACCUCAGGGCAUCAUAGCUUGCUGCAACCCAGUACCACCCCUUGUGCGGCAGCAGAUCAACGAAAUGCACCUUUUAAUCCAGCAGGCCCGAGAGAUGCCCCUGCUCAAGUCUGAAGUUGCAGCCGGAGUGAAGAAGAGCGGACCGCUGCCCAGUGCCGAGGUAGAGUGUCGGAUCUGUUUUCUCCCCCGGGAGGGAAAACGUCAAGUCACAGCCAGUGCAAGUACACCUCUGACAGAGGCCUGUGCUGACAGCUGGCAGAAAGCUACUGCCGGCUUGCACGUUUUACAUGCCAGCCUGCUGGUGUCUUUUAAUGCAGAGAUUGGAGAAUGUUCUCUUUGGACCUCACGACUGCUCCCAUGCCCCUCCGGAUGGCUAUCCAAUCAUCCCAACCAGUGGUAAAGUCGAGAGCCCUCCUGACUGUCCCGAAGAGGUUGGGACACAGCUACCUUGUCUAAAAUUCUGUAGGCUUGGCCGGGUGUGGUGGCUUAUGCCUGUAAUGCCAGCAUAUUGGAAGGCUGAGGUGGGUAGAUCACCUGAGGUCAGGAGUUUGAGACCAGCCUGGCCAACAUGGUGAAACCCCAUCUCUACUAAAAAUACAAAAAUUAGCUGGCAUGGUGGUGGGCGCCUGUAAUCUUAGCUACUUAGGAGGCAGAGGCAGGAGAAUCACUUGAACCGAGGAGGCGGAGGUUGCAGUGAGCCGAGAUUGUGCCAUUGUACUCCAGCCUAGGGGACUACAGUAAAACUCCAUCUCAAAAAAAAAAAUAAACAAAAUUCUGUAGGCUUUGACCUUAUUAUCUUCUGCUCCUCUAGGAUCUGUGCCAGUUCAGAAGCAGGCGAGCCUCUUCCCUGAUGAAAAAGAAGAUAACUUGCUGGGUACCACGUGCCUGAUUGCCACAGCUGUCAUCACGUUAUUUAAUGAACCUAGUGCUGAAGACAGUAAAAAGGGUCCAUUGACAGUUGCACAGAAAAAAGCCCAGAACAUCAUGGAGUCCUUUGAAAAUCCAUUUAGGAUGUUUCUGCCCUCACUGGGACAUCGUGCUCCCGUCUCUCAGGCAGCGAAGUUCGAUCCAUCAACCAAAAUCUAUGAAAUCAGCAACCGUUGGAAGCUGGCCCAGGUACAAGUACAAAAAGACUCUAAAGAAGCUGUCAAGAAGAAGGCAGCUGAGCAAACAGUUCUCUCCCUUGCAGCUGCCCGGGAACAGGCAAAGGAGGCGUGCAAAGCUGCAGCAGAACAGGCCGUCUCCGUCCGACAGCAGGUCGUGCUAGAAAAUGCUGCAAAGAAGAGAGAGCGAGCAACAAGCGACCCAAGGACCACAGAACAGAAACAAGAGAAGAAACGACUCAAAAUUUCCAAGAAGCCAAAGGACCCAGAGCCACCAGAAAAAGAGUUUACGCCUUACGACUACAGCCAGUCAGACUUCAAGGCUUUUGCUGGAAACAGCAAAUCCAAAGUUUCUUCUCAGUUUGAUCCAAAUAAACAGACCCCGUCUGGCAAGAAAUGCAUUGCAGCCAAAAAAAUUAAACAGUCGGUGGGAAACAAAAGCAUGUCCUUUCCAACUGGAAAGUCAGACAGAGGCUUCAGGUACAACUGGCCACAGAGAUAGUCCUGGAAGACACGUGGCGCCUGUGGACCGGAAGCACCAAAUGCUGGUGCUGCUUUUGUACAUACAUAUUUUUAAACCAUUAAAAUUCUUCCUGAAG